rnacentral:lncRNA from 1 species
AACUGAGGCAGGCGCGAAGCGUCGAGUGCGCGCGUGGCCCUGCAGGCAGGCGGAGACCCUGGUGGCUCCCAUACACGUAACAGCACUCACUGCUCUUUGACGUUAGUGAAUAGACCGUAAGCUCCCUGGAGCAGGGACCUUAUCCCAGCGUCUACCGCGGCGCCCGUCACCUAGUAGGUCUCCGUCAUUACCUGCUGAGUAGGGCGCGGGCUGGUGGGGCUUACCGAGCACCCUCGCUGUCUGAGUCAUUAAGCAAACCCGGAGGCUUGUCGUGGGUGUGGGUCCCCUUCCAUCUGAGAACGAAUGGGAUGAGUUUCUGGAGAGACUUGGCCGGAGAAGGGCCGGGGCAGCUCGGGAAGUAGUCUGCCUCACAGAAGAAUUCAGGAAGGCCUCCUGGGAGAGUACCUUUGUGCCGAGCCUUGAUAGAUUCUGGCGAGAAGGAAUGAGGGAACAGGUUGAGGAGACUGUUGUGGGCAAAGCAUGGCGGUGUGAUUGCCUAAGAUCGGUGUGGGAAAGGGGGAUAACGGGUAGGGCAAGGGAUGCUGGGGCUGGGGGUUGGAAUUUACUUUCAGGCAUCUGUAGUCAGUAGGUAUGAUGUCAUCUAAGAGAAACAGACUUAAUGCUGUGAGCAUUUAGCAGGGAGGAGGUGGGCACGCCUUGUGGGAUCAGGCAAGGUUUCAUGGAGCUAAACCUUGACCAGGACAGGUAGAAGUUGAGGGUACAUAUGUGGCAAGAUGCUUUUUUGCUUUUAAUUUAGGUGUCAACUAUUUGGAUUUUUCCAUUCUCACCCAUUUCUAGCAGAUAAUCAGGUUUUGUACAUUCUUGGCUCAGAAAGUUGGACAGGACAGGAAGUCUUUUUUGGAAUACAAACCCACUGGUGGAAAAUUCAAAGGACUACUGGGAACAGGCAGGUAACUUCAGUGAAGUGGUCUAGGUGUGACAUCACUUGAUAUCCAUCCCCCACCAAAAAGGGGAAAAAGAAGACAUUGACUCUUUAUUCAGAGUCUGAAAUGCAACCCAUCUUCACUUCCAGGACCCACUGAUGAUCUCUUCUGGAGUUUUGGCCUGAAGCUAAAACUGGCAGCCCCUGGACUAAGUUCAGCAUAUAGACUAGAUCCGAUAUUUAGCCAUUAUGCACCCUGCACCAUAUUGAUGGUUAAAAUGUUGAAAUAUUUCGAGGGUAAAUAGUAUAGUAAUUACAAUAAAUAUUACAAUUAGUUAAUAGAAAUUUUAAUAUAAACUCAUUGGUUUGUGCUAAUAGUUGUAGGAUGUCAGUACCAUUGAU